UGAUGAUGAUGAUGAUGGUGAUGAUGGUGAUGAUGGUGGUGAUGAUGAUGAUGAUGAUGAUGGUGAUGAUGAUGAUGAUGAUGAUGGUGAUGAUGGUGGUGAUGAUGAUGAUGAUGGUGAUGAUGAUGAUGAUGAUGAUGAUGAUGAUGAUGAUGAUGAUGGUGAUGAUGAUGAUGAUGGUGAUGAUGAUGAUGAUGAUGAUGAUGGUGAUGAUGAUGGUGAUGAUGAUGAUGAUGAUGAUGGUGGUGAUGAUGAUGAUGAUGAUGAUGAUGGUCGUGAUGAUGAUGAUGAUGAUGAUGAUGGUGGUGAUGAUGAUGAUGAUGGUGAUGAUGAUGAUGAUGAUGGUGGUGAUGAUGAUGAUGAUGAUGAUGAUGAUGAUGAUGAUGGUGGUGAUGAUGAUGAUGAUGAUGAUGAUGGUCGUGAUGAUGAUGAUGAUGAUGAUGAUGGUCGUGAUGAUGAUGAUGGUGGUCGUGAUGAUGAUGAUGGUGGUGAUGAUGAUGAUGAUGAUGAUGGUGAUGAUGAUGAUGAUGAUGAUGAUGAUGGUGGUGAUGAUGAUGAUGAUGGUGAUGAUGAUGAUGAUGAUGAUGAUGAUGAUGAUGAUGAUGAUGAUGAU